UACGGGGGGGGCAAGCGUUGUUCGGAAUUACUGGGCGUAAAGGGCUCGUAGGUGGCCAACUAAGUCAUGCGUGAAAUCCCUCGGCUUAACCGGGGAACUGCGUCUGAUACUGGUUGGCUUGAGUUUGGGAGAGGGACGCGGAAUUCCAGGUGUAGCGGUGAAAUGCGUAGAUAUCUGGAGGAACACCGGUGGCGAAGGCGGCGUCCUGGACCAAUACUGACACUGAGGAGCGAAAGCCAGGGGAGCAAACGGG
rnacentral:rRNA from 1 species